rnacentral:rRNA from 1 species
GGGCCCGCACAAGCAGCGGAGCAUGUGGUUUAAUUCGACGCAACGCGAAAAACCUUACCAGGGCUUGACAUCCUAUGAAUCUGUUGGAAACAACGGAGUGCUCUUCGGAGAGCAUAGAGACAGGUGGUGCAUGGUUGUCGUCAGCUCGUGUCGUGAGAUGUUGGGUUAAGUCCCGCAACGAGCGCAACCCUUAUGAUCAGUUACCAGCGGGUAAAGCCGGGGACUCUGAUGAGACUGCCGUGGAUAACACGGAGGAAGGUGGGGACGACGUCAAAUCAUCAUGCUCCUUAUGUCCUGGGCUACACACGUGCUACAAUGGCCGUUACAGAGGGCAGCGAACCCGCAAGGGGGAGCGAAACCGAAAAAAGCGGUCUCAGUUCGGAUUGUGGGCUGCAACCCGCCCACAUGAAGUCGGAGUUGCUAGUAAUCGCGAAUCAGCAUGUCGCGGUGAAUGCGUUCCCGGGCCUU